GACUGGAUAGCCUGGCGCGGGUAAAGGCAUCACGUUGACAAUGCUGAGGUCCCAGGUUCAAAUCCUGGUCUGGUCA
rnacentral:tRNA from 1 species